CCUACGGGAGGCAGCAGUAGGGAAUAUUGCUCAAUGGGGGAAACCCUGAAGCAGCAACGCCGCGUGGAGGAUGAAGGUUUUCGGAUUGUAAACUCCUUUUGUUAGAGAAGAUAAUGACGGUAUCUAACGAAUAAGCACCGGCUAACUCCGUGCCAGCAGCCGCGGUAAUACGGAGGGUGCAAGCGUUACUCGGAAUCACUGGGCGUAAAGAGCGCGUAGGCGGGAUAGCAAGUCAGAUGUGAAAUCCUAUGGCUUAACCAUAGAACUGCAUUUGAAACUGUUAUUCUAGAGUAUGGGAGAGGUAGGUGGAAUUCUUGGUGUAGGAGUAAAAUCCGUAGAGAUCAAGAGGAAUACUCAUUGCGAAGGCGACCUGCUAGAACAUAACUGACGCUGAUGCGCGAAGGCGUGGGGAGCGAACAGGAUUAGAUACCCCAGUAGUC
rnacentral:rRNA from 1 species